AGCGAACGCUGGCGGCAGGCCUAACACAUGCAAGUCGAACGAACCUUUCGGGGUUAGUGGCGGACGGGUGAGUAACACGUGGGAACGUGCCUUGAGGUUCGGAAUAACUCAGGGAAACUUGUGCUAAUACCGAAUGUGGCCUUCGGGGCAAAGAUUAAUCGCCUUUAGAGCGGCCCGCGUCUGAUUAGCUAGUUGGUUGAGGUAAUGGCUCACCAAGGCGACGAUCAGUAGCUGGUCUGAGAGGAUGAUCAGCCACAUUGGGACUGAGACACGGCCCAAACUCCUACGGGAGGCAGCAGUGGGGAAUCUUGCGCAAUGGGCGAAAGCCUGACGCAGCCAUGCCGCGUGAAUGAUGAAGGUCUUAGGAUUGUAAAAUUCUUUCACCGGGGACGAUAAUGACGGUACCCGGAGAAGAAGCCCCGGCUAACUUCGUG
rnacentral:rRNA from 1 species